UACAGAGGUCUCAAGCGUUGUUCGGAUUCAUUGGGCGUAAAGGGUGCGUAGGCGGCGCGGUAAGUCGGGUGUGAAAUUUCGGAGCUUAACUCCGAAACUGCAUUCGAUACUGCGGUGCUCGAGGACUGGAGAGGAGACUGGAAUUCAUGGUGUAGCAGUGAGAUGCGUAGAGAUCAUGAGGAAGACCAGUGGCGAAGGCGGGUCUCUGGACAGUUCCUGACACUGAGGCACGAAGGCCAGGGGAGCAAACAGG
rnacentral:rRNA from 1 species